GACUNGAUUAAGUAUCAUUAAUUGAUGGUGUUCUCUCGUUUGUCCUCGCCCAUUUAUUUUGCCUGCCUGCUCUGCUCUUCGUGAGUGUCGAGCCGGCCGGUUACUUUACUUUGAACAAAUUGCAGUGCUCAGGCUGAAUAGAAUC
rnacentral:rRNA from 1 species